UUUAUUACUUUUCUCCUCGGCUCUCUUGCCCUCCCAAGUACAUGGUGACUGCUGCUCCUAAUUGCUGUUUCACUAAAAUGCACAAUGCUCUCCAUUUUGUGUUUUAAAUUCCAUGUAUUUCUAGGGCCUUCAGGAUCACUAAACCCUCCACCAAGAGAAUGCAAUAGAAGUGGCGGUUAUGAAAGUUUCUGGAAGUGGCCCAGUAGUACAGAAGAAUGAGGAUAGCAGAAAGGGUUGAGAAGGAAUUAAGAAAGACCUGCUGGACUUUACUGAGCCCACACUGAUGAGUCAUGUGGUCAAGGUUGAGCCCAUGCAACUUUGGCACAGCCUCCAAAGCCAGGGCAAAGUCACUCACAGAGGGACUGGAUGGCUAUGGUUAGACCUGUGCUUGAACCAUGCUUUUCAGCUUGGGAGCAAACUCAUAUGCAUAAUUUCCUUUGACCCUGUGACAAUCCCAUAUGAUACGUUUUUACUCUCACUUUUCAGAUGAGGAAACUGAGGCUCAUAGAAUCACCCGGGUCCUGCUGCUGCGUAGAGGGCAAAGCUGGUGUGCUUUCCCCAUGCCAGAGGCCUUAGGGGUCUGGAGCCCACUCACUUGCUAGUGAUUUAAACCUUGUGCAACCAAACUCAUGGCACCAUACUUAAUGCAAUAAUUCAAGAAACAUUCUUUGAGUAUCUACUGUAGGCUAGGGAUACAAUGAGCAAAACAGAAUCCUUCUCUAUCCUCAGGGAACUUAGAUGUACCUGGGGAGAGUUCCACAAGCAACAACGUGUGGUGAGUUAGGUGAAUCAGAGAGAAAGCACCAUGUUACGGAAGCUGCUGGCAGGAGGCUCCGAUCUCAUCUACAGGACAGAGAAGCCUUCCUGGAGGAAGCAAGGUUUGAGAUGAAACCUGAAGGGUAGAAGAUAAAUAGAUGAAGGAGGGGGAAGAGCACGCAGGCCAGGAGGAAGCCUGCACAAAGGCGUGUCUAACAUGUAAGAGAAAUUGGUGGCUGAGGAACUGGAUUGAUUUAGGAGGCAUCAUCAAUUGAUAAGGCUAAGGAACUGAUUCAAUUGUGGGGCUCAUGGAGAGACAGGAAUUAGGAACCCGCUCCCCCCACAACCCCAGUUCCUGACGUGGCCACCUGUGGGAUGGCAGUGCAUUUACUGAGACAGGGAGUGCUGUGGAGGAGCCUAAUAGUGGAAGUGAGGUUGGGAGAAGAUAAUGAACGGUUAUCUUAUCUAUGGUGAUGAAAAUGAGCCCUAAAAGGCAGUUCAGCUGACCCAGCUUUGUUAUGAUCUCAGGGCCAAGAACUGAAUUAAAGCCCCGAUGUAGACAUGGUGUUAAUUAUUUCAUUGAGGCCACCCAUUAAGGCUGUAAACACUGAGUUUGUUUCCACCCUACUGAGAAAUCGAAAGGACAGAGUGAAGCUUCAACAUGAUCGUCACCAGCUGGAACAAUCAGGCUUAACACGAUGAAAUUUAACAGGGACAAAUUUAAAUUACACUCCUUAGGUUCGCAAAAUCUGUUGUUUCUGUAAAGGAUGAAAAACCUGACUUAACAGCAGCUCAUGUCAACAGAACCUAAUAGAGUCAGUUGGCUAUGAAUUCCACACAAGCUGACAUGGUGAUGUGGCUGGCCUUUUGUAAGGAACAUGGCUAUACUGCAGCCAAGCAAGGAUAGGCCGAGGUAAACAUCCUGCGUGACUCAGCCAGUUUAUAGCGCAGGAGCAUAGCUCCACUUGUUGUAUAAUCACAGCCAUGUAGCCAUAACAUGGGAAGGCUCAUCACUUGGCUUGGAGCCACUAUCAUCUGUAAAAGGUAUAAUUUCCCUGCUGACACUGUACAGGCAUGCUUGUGUCCAGAGAAAGAGAGAGAGAAAGCCAGAGCUGUCUGUUUUGUAAACGGACAUGGGGGAGCCAGGACACAGCUUGGCUUGCUUGUGCCCGUAGGGCAAGAGUUAAGCUGCUAACCCUGAAGAGAGAGCUGGUUGUGCAGCUGUAUGUGGGAGCCACCGGAGCAAGCAGCCAAGACGGAGACAGUGUAAGAGAGAUGCUGAAUAAAACCACAUUUCACCUACUUACGGCCCCCUAAGAGUUCUUCCUAUCCAUCCGCCAUUCAUCCACCCACUCCCUUAGGACCUCAGCAUGGGCUGGAACCUGACCUUAAACUUAACACCCUUCUUCCACUUCUAAUGUCCCCUUGAUGUAUGAGAUAUUGGAGAGGAACCCAUGAAGCUUCCUCUGAUCAGGAUAGAGAAGAACCUGUAAGAAAAGUGCAGCAGCCAAGGAGAGAGGCCAGCUCAGAGAUAUGUCUGUAGGGAAGUCAGGGCUGGCUUGUAGGCUCGAAUGUUGGGGAGCUGCAUGCCAUGUGAUUGGAGGGUGUCUCUAACAAAACACCUGAAAAAAAAAGAGGCAAGGGACAUAAUUCUUAGCUAACAAGGGGGCCUCAGAGAGAGGGAUUUGUUAGGGCUAGGAGAAGAAGGAAGGAUGCACCAAGGAAAUGAUAAAGGAUGAAGCAUUGCAGAAAAGCCAAUUGCUGUAUUAAUUCAUUUCAGUCAUGUGUUUGAGCUCUGAUUUUGUGUAUAGCCCUAUGCUGUGGGAAAUGCUAUGAAACAACAGCCACAGAGUCAACAGCGCUGAUUGGUAUGGCUCAGAUGACCAGUGCUGUUCAGAGGAUGGUGAGGGGUCACCAGGGAAGAAGCCAUGGAGGAGCUGAAGCUUGAGCAGGCCCUUGAUGGAAGGGGUUGGGGAAGAUGUCACUGCAGAGCGUGAGCUGGGGAAGAUGAAGAAAUCAGCUGACUGGAGUCUUCAGAAAUGGGGUGGAAUAGGGUGUGCCCUGUGUUGUUGACUACCCUUGUGUUGUGCUGAUAUUCCAUCACAGAGGUGAGUGCCCAGAGAACGGUAAGGAGGGAAGCCCAGAGGAAAGGCUUUGCGGGGAGAAUCCCCACUGCUUUCUUAUGGGAAAUCAAAUGAAUGAGAUAGGGGUGAGCAGGUAAUAUCUAAAUUGUACAGAGUCCCCCUUCUUCCUUCUUUUCUUCCUUUCUUUCUUCCCUGGUAUGGUUUGAAUGCAUCCCCCCAAAGUCAUGUGUUAGAUAGUCCCCAAGGCAAGUGUUGUGAAGUGGGACCUAAUGGGAGGUGUUUAGGUCAUGAGGGCU
rnacentral:lncRNA from 1 species